GGGUGAUUAGCUCAGUGGUAGAGCGCUUCGUUCACAUCGAAGAUGUCAGAGGUUCAAAUCCUCUAUCACCCA
rfam:Roseivivax halodurans JCM 10272 contig12, whole genome shotgun sequence.